GAUUGCCUGUGUUUUCCAGUCACAGGGAAAUAAUGGCUUGCCAUGAUAAAUAUUCUUUCAGGAAUGCAUGUUAUUAAUCUGGCCCUUUAAGCACUGAAGUGUAGGCUGAGCCUUAACUGUGUGCUGAAGUCUUGAUUUCACUGGGAUUUAAUCACAGGUUAAAGUGGUUUCCUGAUUUAGAGUCAGAAAAAUAGACAGUUUACAGCUAAAGGACGGGAAGAAAACCUGUUUAGCUCCUAGACUGCUCUUGUCAUCCAUAUAUGCAUGUUUACAAAUCCAUCUUCAUACAAAUCUGGGCAGAAUUAGAGCUUGGUAAAAGAAGUGAGUACAUCAGAGCCUGCCUCUGAAUUUAAUUAAACUGAGAAGUCAUCGAAUUUGGAGAAUUGCUUCAAACCCAUCUCUUGCAAACAUGAUUUGGAAUGACCAGAAGAUGCUGGGAUGAUACCCAAAAGACUGUUAGCAAAUAUAAUGAUGUGCAUCCUGGCAAAUAGCUCAACAAAAAUUCAUAUUGAUAAAGCCAGUGGGGUGUGGGUCACCAGUGUUCAGGAUUGUACCUUUAAAUAUUGGAAAGAUUUACCAGGAAUUGUGUAAUGAACAAUUUUCAUACCAACAAAGUUUCUAUAUUGCAGAAAAUAAUGUCUUAUUAUAAUGCAUAGAUUUGAUGGCAUAUAAAGAGAAUUUCUUGCACUUACCAAAACCACAAAAAAUAAAAAAAGUAAAGGAGUGGUCCAUUAUGAAAUAGAUUCAAUAAUUUGACAAAGAAUGUAUUAAAAUGUAUGCCUUAGAUUCUUUUCUGUGCUGUGUCAACAAAAAAAACCCAAACCAAAUAUUUCAAAUGUAAAAUGUGUGAUCAAUGUGCAUAAAUUUAGCUAGUAUAUACAAAGUAGAGACAACAGUAAAAAAAAAAAAAAAUAAAUAUAGAGACAAUUUCAAUUAAGCAAGUGGGAUCUGGACAAGCUCAGGCAGUGGGCACAUGGCAAUCUCAUGAGGUUCAACAUGGUCAAGUGCAAGGUCCUGCAUCUGCUUUGCCUGGUGUCAUUACAGGCUGGGGGAUGAAUGGAUUGAGAGAAACCCCAUGGAGAAGAACUUGGGGGUGCUGGUGGAUGAAAAUUUGGACAUGAGUUGGCAGUGUGUGCUUGGAGAUUAGGAAGUACCCUGGGCUGCAUCCAGAGCAGUGUGGGUGACAGAAGUCAAGGGAGCUGAUUCUGCCCCUGUGCUCUCCACUCCGGUGAGACUCCACCCUGAGUACUGCAUCCUGCUUGGGAUCCUCAGCAGAAGAAAGCCAUGGACCUGUUGGUUUGAAAUGAAAGGAAGGGAAAAUCAGACUAAUUCAAAUGGCUGUUUGCUUCUGUGGCAUCUACUCCAGCAUGCCAUUGACUUCACAGGACGUGUGCUGGGGACUGGAGCUGUGCGUAUGCUGCAGACAGCUUUCCUUUGGCUGAAGACUACAGAAAGCUAGACUGGCAUUAACAGCUGCCUGAAGCACAGGUUACAGUAAAGUAUAUCAUGUUCCUAUCAUCAUUACAUACCUUGGAUUCCACUGUAAGCCUGAAGUCUGGGAGUGAGGAGAGCUCUGGACCAUAAAUACAUUAGCUCGGCAUGAUGAACUAUGUGAAUUUGUCCUUCAGUUAAGGGUAAAGAAGAAAGCACUUUGAUUCCACAGUCAUAUUCUUGAGACUGCUAUAGUGCAAAUCAAGACAUGGUUUUUUCCUCUUGUCCCAGAAUACUUGGAGACAUUUCUGUCUGUAACAGAUGCUACUGAUAUCCUCAAUACAUGUAUAUAUCUGAAGCAAAGUUAAGUCUUCACAAUCAAACUUAAAUAAUAAUUCAUGAGUGUGCUUACAGCUAUGCCUGUUAUAAUAGUUCUUUAUUAUUCAAUAUGCAUUUUGUAGAAUACUGGCAAUCUUUUUUAAGAGGGAAUAGAAGAAAAAUUGUAGAAACAAGUCAGAGAUAAUUAUUAGAAACCCAGGGAAAAAAGAAUUUUGGCUUUUAUGAUGCUUGGACACUGUGGAGAGGAAAUGGAACAAGACACAGAGGAUCAAAGAUGAGGAAAAAAAUGGUGUGAUGCUUUUAUGAGUGAAGGACUUGGCAGCAAAAGAAAUGUUUCACCUUCCCUAAUACUGAAUUUUUCAUAUGGCCAAAAUGAGCAUAAGGAGAAAAAUAAAGCCAGAGGUAGAAAUCCAUCUGAUUAAGAAAGGA